AGUGAACGCUGGCGGUAGGCCUAACACAUGCAAGUCGAACGGCAGCACAGGAGAGCUUGCUCUCUGGGUGGCGAGUGGCGGACGGGUGAGGAAUACAUCGGAAUCUACCUUUUCGUGGGGGAUAACGUAGGGAAACUUACGCUAAUACCGCAUACGACCUACGGGUGAAGGUGGGGGACCGCAAGGCCUCACGCGAUUAGAUGAGCCGAUGCCCGAUUAGCUAGUUGGCGGGGUAAUGGCCCACCAAGGCGAUGAUCGGUAGCUGGUCUGAGAGGAUGAUCAGCCACACUGGAACUGAGACACGGUCCAGACUCCUACGGGAGGCAGCAGUGGGGAAUAUUGGACAAUGGGCGCAAGCCUGAUCCAGCCAUACCGCGUGGGUGAAGAAGGCCUUCGGGUUGUAAAGCCCUUUUGUUGGGAAAGAAAUCCUAUCGGUUAAUAACCGGUGGGGAUGACGGUACCCAAAGAAUAAGCACCGGCUAACUUCGUGCCAGCCGCCGCCGUAAAAC
rnacentral:rRNA from 1 species